CAGUGCACUGUCUUUCCGAAGUUUGUUCUCUCGGUCAAAACUGGAGUCAAAAACAAACAAAAAAAGAACAAACAAAAAUAAUAAUUUAAUUUAAAAAAAACAACAAAAAAACAAAAACAAAACAAAAAAAACGACUAAACACAAACCGCUCGCGCUGUUCCGCGGGUAAAUAAUACUGAUUAUUCUCCGCGCGCAUGAAUGGAGAAGGGGGAAAGAGAGACGGGGGGAAAAUACCGACACACGCACGCACGCACACACACACACACACACACACACACGCACGCGUGAGUGUGUACAGAAGGAGAAAAUGCGGUGAAUGCGCGCGGAGUGAAGGAGUAAAGGGAAGAAUGAAGAUGGGAUGAAGGGAGGCACAAGUGGAGGAGUGAAGGGAUGAAGGAGUGGAGGAGUGAAGGGGUGAAGGAGUGAAGGGGUGAAGGGAUGAAGGGGUGAAGGAGUGAAGUAGUGGAGGAGUGAAGUAGUGGAGGAGUGAAGGAGUGAAGCGGCUCGAACGCGCGUCGGCUCGCAGUCACUUACUUUUCUGUGUCCUGUGACAUGAUGAUGUCUUUUGGACUCCUCGCCGAUAAUUCCUGGAGAAACUGGACUUUCAGCAGCCCUGAUUCCAUUGGUCGAGGUGUGUAAGGAGGUCGGGCUGUGAUUGGCUGAGCCAGCACAGGUCCUGAAGGCCAGGAAGUGAAAUCACAGAGAAAUGAUACCAACUGAACGAAAUGUGCUUAACCUCACGGGGAAACAUAACAGACGCCGAGGAAAGCGCUAUCUGCCUUCUUCCACACACACCAGCUAACAGAUCAUCACUGUGAUUGACAGGUGAGAGAGAGUAAGCCCCUCCCACCCACAGAGCAGGUCACACCUUUCCCUCUCUCACCUUUUUUGAAGUUGAAGUUAAAGUCACAAGUUCGAAUCCUGAAGAUGUCACAUGGCCGGAAGUCAAGAGAGCGAAACCGGCGGUGUUUUCUGGGUGGGAGGGGCUUACUCUCCCACGCCCCUGUCAAUCACAGCGACACGAGCCAAUCACAGGCAUCUGUGAGCUGGAGUAUGAGGAAGAGGACGAGAAGAGGAUACUGUAGACAGUGCCUUCCUGCGAGUUUAGAGUUCUUACUCUGUACUUCAUCGAGUUAAUCCACUCUUUUUGUUUCUCUUUUUGUUCACUCUUUUUGUUAAUUUCACAGAUUUAUGAAUUUAAACGUUCACCUCUUUAAAAAUGUUUUGUUUUUCACGCUUUUAAGAAGGUUCCCUCCCGUUUUAAAGUCUUUUUAGAAGUGAUUUCUGCAGAUUUUUAAUCUCUGAUUAACACGGAACACCCACACCACCACCAUUCCCUCAACUCGUCCAAUCACUCGCCUGCAGUAACCGCUUCAUCCUGUAUUCGUAAAUAUUUAUCAUAUGUGCGGCCAAUUUCAAGACAACUACCUCAGCGUACUGUUGCAGCGCACAAAUACGCAAUAUUUCUAUACUUUUUUAAAAAUAUUUCCCUUUUUCUAGUCGUAUGGAAGUAAUUGUGGUCUGUGUAAACUGUAUUUUAUGUCACGGACUGUCGUAAAAAGCCGUACUGUGUACGCUUGUGUGCGUGACGGUCGAAGGAUUGAGGUAAAAGUAGAUUUGGGAUCGAGUCGUCAGCGAUCAGCGACGGGCAGCCCUGAGACCCGACACACACGGGGUUUAUCCUGCGCCGCUCGGCGGGAAGCGAGUUUGAUGUGCAGGUGAGCGAGGCUGAAAGGACAGCGUGAUGUCAUGGAGUUGAUUCCGUUGCCGCUUGUGCAACUCGUCGUGAUGUGACUUGCCCUCCACUUAACUGUCAGCGUUAUUUCCCAGAAAUUAGCGAGGGCCGAGUGCCAUUCUCCCACGGUGCUGAGCUGAGAAAGCUUCCACGGAUCAGGCACGGACACGCCGCCAGACCUGACCAGGUAAACCUAACGCCUUCGACACGACACGACCGACACCUCGGGGUUCUACUGAUCCACUCCUGUACCACACGCUGGUCUCCUUUCUGAGCUCUCGCUCAUCCCAUGUACGAUCAGACCCGUUACACCUGCUCCGCCCUCCGUUCUCCGUCGGGUUUCAGCCGGGCUCCAUCGGAGAACCCUUUUAAGUUGCACAAGGAACCUUUUACUCUCAAGUUCUUUAGAGAACCUUCUAUUUACUGGUGCUUUAAAGAACCCUGUAAAGAUAUUUCUUCACAGCAGUGCCACAAGCAAACAUGUUAUCUUCGGUUCUCUAACAAAACAAAAAAAACCCUUGGUUAGUGCUUUAAGGAAGCAAAGUAAGGCUCUUAAGAGUGCUGCCUGAGAGGAGAACCUUUUCCAGUCCCACAAAGAACCCUAUAGAGUAUGGUUCAUGUUAAUGUGUUAAGCGAUGAUACCUUGAAGAUCCAAUACACUGCUCUGAAGAUCCUAUAACGAAACAUAACGAACCUCUUUAAUCUCCACGGAGCCGUACAGCUCAGCUCAGGAGCCCUGCAGUGAAAGAUGGUUCCCAUGGUGCUGUAAAGACCCAGAGAAGAGCCUUUAUUUUUAAGAGUGUGAGCUACGUGUGGUGCUAGACAGCUGUUUUAGCUACUUAAUGAAUAUUAACGAACAUUAUCACACACUCGUCGUAAUACGUUAUCGUCGCUAUAGUAACAGUUCAUUCACAGGAACAGCGGUGUACGGCUGCUGUAACGUAAGAGAGAACAGGAACUCACUUUAAAGGUUAAACUUUAAAGGAAAUCUAAUAGGAAAACUGUUUUCUGGUCCGGAAUGCUUGUUUGUGUGUGGGUCCUGGGGGCGGAGCUUUGUGAUCAUGGGCGGGAAUAGGUGGGGGUGUGUGUGGUUUCAAGAAGUUUAAAAAAAAAAUAUUUCAAACAUUUUAACUAAACGGUUAGAGAGCUAAACAUGUGGUAUAAAAUGGACUAAUCUUACCUAGUACACCUUUAAAUGUAACUAUAAACGGAUAAAAAUUACGAUGUGUUGUUCUGUAAUAAACAAAAAGUUGUUUACGGACUGUGUUUUAGGAGUCAGGAUCUGGAGGCUCGGAGUUCAGGACUCGGUCCAGUGUGUGUGUGUGUGUGUGUGUGUGUGUGUGUGUGUGUGUUAGUGCAUUAGAACCCCUGAUCUGCGCUGGACCUUCGGGUCCUCUGCGUAAACACAGCUGCAUUGUGAUCUGGAGGCUGAGGGGCGACACCUUCAGCACCUAAACACACACACCUUUGUUUUCAGGCGUCUGAGACAAAGCACUCGGUCAGUGGAGGAGAUAAUCAGAUUUACUGAGAUCAGAUAAACAUCUCAGUAUCCUGACCUCACACACACACACACACACACACACACACACACCUGGUCUGAUCUGUAAUACAAACCUGCGAUAACAUUCAUCAGGCUUUCAUGGCGGUUCUGUCUGAUACACACCAUGUUGUUGAGUCUGAUGUUCAGUCUGAUGUUCAGUCUGAUGUUCAGUCUGAUGCUGAGUCUGAUGUUCAGUCUGAUGUUCAGUCUGAUGCUGAGUCUGAUGUUCAGUCUGAUGUUCAGUCUGAUGCUGAGUCUGAUGUUCAGUCUGAUGUUCAGUCUGAUGCUGAGUCUGAUGUUCAGUCUGAUGUUCAGUCUGAUGCUGAGUCUGAUGUUCAGUCUGAUGUCCAGUCUGAUGUUGACAGAUUGAUGCACAUUGAAAGUUUUUAGGUUAUUGUUCUAAAAAUAAAGAAAACCUUUUCUCUUUA